AGGAUUUGAGAGCUGGCUUGAAGUUCUUUUCAGUGGCAUAAGGAUUGUUUUUGGAGGAUUUUUGAAGACUUAGAAAUUAUUAUUCAAAAUCAAGGUUUGUAUUGGUGAUUUGGAUUUUAUAUAAUAUAAUUAGGACUAGCUAUUUUGGCUCAUUUGUGUAAUUUGUAUAACAUCUAUGGUUGAAAACUUGAUACUGUUUGGAUUAUUGGAUGUGCUAAGUUUUUAUAAAAUUUUGUAAUAAUCUAACACUGUAGUUUAGAGAUAUUGAGUUUUUAGCACAAGAGGGUUUCAAAAGUUGGCAUUGUGAAGUUGGAUAGGGUUUCUAUAAUAUCUAGAGAUCUAUCAAUUGGAUCAAGGUGAAAUUUGGCAUGGUAUUUAAGGACUUGAAGAUCAAGCUACAUACCAAUUUUGAGUCAAAUUUAAUGGUUGGAAAGGGAAAAAUCAUUGCUCGGAUUUCUACAUAACUUUUCAAGUUGGCGAUUGAGUGACAUCAAUGCAAUUUUUAGAGAUUUUCUCAAAAUCUAUAAGUUGAAUUAGGCUUACAAUUUUUGAGCAUAUAGAAGACUUACAUUGACAAUUGCAUGCAAAAUUUUAUAUCAAGUGGAUGGUUAGAUUGGAUGUUAGAGCUUAUUAAAGCUCACUAAUUACGAUUGGGGCUUACAAGAAAAAUCUAAAUUGCUUAAAUAUGAAAGUAAUAAGAUAA
rnacentral:lncRNA from 1 species